rnacentral:piRNA from 1 species
AUUUCACCAAGAAUCAUCCGAGUGCAUCUGU